AUUGAACGCUGGCGGCAGGCUUAACACAUGCAAGUCGAGCGGAGAUGAGGUGCUUGCACCUUAUCUUAGCGGCGGACGGGUGAGUAAUGCUUAGGAAUCUGCCUAUUAGUGGGGGACAACAUUCCGAAAGGAAUGCUAAUACCGCAUACGUCCUACGGGAGAAAGCAGGGGAUCUUCGGACCUUGCGCUAAUAGAUGAGCCUAAGUCGGAUUAGCUAGUUGGUGGGGUAAAGGCCUACCAAGGCGACGAUCUGUAGCGGGUCUGAGAGGAUGAUCCGCCACACUGGGGCUGAGACACGGCCCAGACUCCUACGGGAGGCAGCAGUGGGGAAUACUGGACAAUGGGGGGAACCCUGAUCCAGCCAUGCCGCGUGUGUGAAGAAGGCCUUAUGGUUGUAAAGCACUUUAAGCGAGGAGGAGGCUACUGAGACUAAUACUCUUGGAUAGUGGACGUUACUCGCAGAAUAAGCACCGGCUAACUCUGUGCCAGCCGCCGCCGUAAUAC
rnacentral:rRNA from 1 species